rnacentral:rRNA from 1 species
AGGACGAACGCUGGCGGCGUGCUUCAUACAUGCAAGUCGAACGAGAAAUCAACUUCGGUUGGUGGAAAGUGGCGGACGGGUGAGUAAAAUGUAGAGAAUCUGCCCUAGAGAGUGGGACAACAGAGGGAAACUUCUGCUAAUACCGCAUAUGAGCGUAGCUGAAAUGCUAUUCUUGAAAACUCCGGUGCUCUAGGAUGAGUCUGCAUCUGAUUAGCUAGUUGGCGGUGUAAUGGACCACCAAGGCGACGAUCAGUAGCUGGUUUGAGAGGAUGAUCAGCCACAAUGGGACUGAGACACGGCCCAUACUCCUACGGGAGGCAGCAGUAGGGAAUUUUGCGCAAUGGGGGAAACCCUGACGCAGCAACGCCGCGUGAACGAAGAAGCCCUUCGGGGUGUAAAGUUCUGUCAGUGGGGACGAAACUUGACGGUACCCACAGAGGAAGCAUCGGCUAACUCCGUGCCAGCCGCGGC